CGGCACCUGGAAAUCCCCACGAAAUGAAUUCCAUUCCACAUCUUUCUCAACACCCAGAGGAGAGCACACAAGGGCUGAUUGUCCUUGCAAAGUUCCCUGCCUGCAACCCCAUGGUCAGGGGGUUUGUGGGGGCAGGGGGUGAGGAGAUACAUGUAUGUAUUAGUGUGGGCUCUCGAGGCAGGAAGCAGAUCUGAUGCCUUAGAGCUCAGUGACCAAACGUGGCCCCUUGCAAUUCUGCAGGAUGCGCUUGAGAAUGGAGUGCCCCCCAGGCUGUGGGUGCUGACAUCAAGCCCCCCACCCAGGCUCAGACCAAGGACCUAUUUUCCCCAAAGUUUUGCCGUUGUGAUUCUGGCUUCUCAUUGCUUCCUGGCAUUCUUGUUUUCCACGUUUCUUGGGCUCCAUCCAGUGCUGAGUAAUGACUCAGAGCCAGAAGCCCUGAGGUGUUAGGCUGCCACUGCACACUGGGGAGUAACUGACAGCGCCAGGCACCACACAGCGGGCCCCUCACCUGAUCCACAGGCACGUGGGGCCUAUAGGAGGAGGCGGGUGUAAUCAGGGUGGGGUGAUGUGUUUUCCAGGCAGGGCUGGGAGAAGCAGGCGUGUUCCCAGUGGAACAGCCAUCUCUGCUCUUCCUGGGGGAGAUCCCUUACGACAGCCCCGUGUGGCACCCCGUGGGCUGUUUCUCCCCUUCCUCUCUCCUCCCCUGGCCCAGGCCACCCGAGGAAGUAAUUUGCUCCAACACUGCCUUGGGGUAAAGGAAAGAUCUGAAGGAUCUGGCUUCCUUGCUUGACCCCAGUCUGUGACACCCACUGGACUCCGAACUGACCCCACCUCCUGGAGCUGAGAGCACUCCUUUCGGCUGACAGGAAGCAACCAGAAAAAGAGGCAGAUAGUGAGUGAGCAGGUGAGGAAAUCAGAAACCUGCACCUGCCAAUCCAGGAAUUCGUCCAACACACCUCAUAGAAGUGACACCUGGCUACCCAGAGCCGAUCAACUUAAACGGCUGGUUUUUGUCAUUGGACUUUGGAAAAGAACAUAAAAAAGAAGUGGCAUUUUAUAAACAUUUUUGAAACCCUGCUAAAAACUCAAGAGAUGAAGGAACUGAGGCAGUGCAUUAAGGAACCUGCUCAGUCACAUAGCAAACAAGGUCAACCGUGGAAGAGGAAUCCAGAAAGCAAGCCUCAACAACCCUGUCUCCUGGCUUUCGAUCAGCUCAUUGAAAAAUAGAAAAAGGAUAAUAUGGAGAGAUGUCAUUGAAAAUAUUACACACAAGAGUUCCCGUCGUGGCUCGGUGGUAAUGAACCAGACUAGUAUC